rnacentral:rRNA from 1 species
GACGAACGCUGGCGGCGUGCUUAACACAUGCAAGUGGAGCGACGAACCGGGGCUUGCCCCGGGGCAGAGCCGCGAACGGGUGAGUAACACGUGGGUAACCCACCCGAUGAUUGGGACAACCCGAGGAAACUCGGGCUAAUACCAAAUGUGCCCUUGGUCCAUGAGGACCUCGAGUAAAGAUAGCUUCGGCCUUCGCAUCGGGACGGGCCCGCGGCCCAUUAGCUUGUUGGUGAGGUAACGGCUCACCAAGGCGACGAUGGGUAGCUGGUCUGAGAGGACGAUCAGCCACACUGGGACUGAGACACGGCCCAGACUCCUACGGGAGGCAGCAGUGGGGAAUCUUGCGCAAUGCGCGAAAGCGUGACGCAGCAACGCCGCGUGGGGAAGAAGGCCUC